rnacentral:rRNA from 1 species
UACGUAGGGGGCAAGCGUUGUCCGGAUUUAUUGGGCGUAAAGAGCGUGUAGGCGGCCAGGUAGGUCCGCUGUGAAAACUCGAGGCUCAACCUCGAGAUGUCGGCGGAAACCAUCUGGCUAGAGUCCGGAAGAGGAGAGUGGAAUUCCUGGUGGUAGCGGUGAAAUGCGCAGAUAUCAGGAAGAACACCCGUGGCGAAGGCGGCUCUCUGGGGACGGUACUGACGCUGAGACGCGAAAGCGUGGGGAGCGAACAGG